UGCUCUCGCGCGCGUUUCCGGCUCGAUCUUAUCCCUGUCCCUGGGUCCCUCCUGGCUCCUCCCACCUCGAGCACUUCCUCGCCGCUUGGGUUUUCUGUCCCGCGCCGCCGCCGGAUCAUCUUCAUGGCGCCACACCUCGGUCGGCUGCCUCGCAUUAGAGUUUCUUUCCCGCGCCGCCGCCGGAUCAUCUUCAUGGCGCCACACCUCGGUCGGCUGCCUCGCAUUAGAGUUUCUUUCCCGCGCCGCCGCCGGAUCAUCUCUAUGGCGCAUGCCAUCGCUCACGCCGUCGGUCCUGUUUGCCCUCCUGUCAAAUCCCCUCGCCUCCGCCGCAAUCUCCGUCUGCAUGAGCCGCCCCUCCCGCGAAGUUACUUCUCCUUCUGGUCCGGCCGCUUCGAGGUUCCAUCGCCGGCCGCCGUUUCUCGGGGUCUCUCCUCCGAGGCCCCAUCGCCGCCUCGACCCCAUCAAACUCAAAAGUUUUUGGAUCAGCUCAGUCGAGCCUCCUCGCCGCCGGGACGCACCGGUGGUAGGUGUUGCGGGAGGGGGCCGUGCUCAGGAGAACACGGAGAGCGCGACCACGCCCAGCCCGCCGGAGGUCACGAACCUGGCCGCCAUGAGCGCCAGCGCCGCCGCCGCCGCCCUCCUCUGCUCGAUGACUCCAACGACUCCCAAAUCCAAGCCUUGUUGAAGCAAAUGAUGGACCAAGCGGCACUGACAAUGGCUACGCUGAUCUUCUGCUGGCAAUGAAAUGAGCACUGGGCUGUUUGCAGUUGCAGACGCUUGAUCUAUAUCUUCAAUUAACAAGAUGGGUAGCAUGGCUCUCCACACUGGUGUCUUAACUUAGCAUAUAUGCAAUGUUUAGAUGAUCAGGGGCCUCGUCCCCGGUCCAUUUCAUUGUAUAUAUGCAAUGUUUAUCUUGGUUAUCCUAUCUAAAUUAAUCUGACUUACCCUACAUGUCUUCCUUGCUGCAGUAACUGGUUUAUCCAUCGAGAUCUUAAGUCUUCUAAUAUACUGGUGCAAGGAGCAAAUGAUGCCCUUUUUAUUGUAAAGUGUGCCUGCACAGAAGCCAUAGCUCAACUCUACAGGAUAUCUGUUUGAUCUGCAAGCUGCACUGGAUUGUCAAAAUGACGACACAACGUAAUCACGUGCACAAGUAAGAUAUAUUAAAAAGACCAUGAUGGUAUGCUGGCGCCUUGCCUGGGUUGAAUGGAAGGCAACGGUCAAGUACAAUUCGACACUAACACAAUCGGACAGACCAACAAACAACAAAAGUAGUCAUCAGUAAACAGACUAGCAGAGUACUGAACUAAUAAGGUUUAUCGUGUAUGCCUAAUUUACGCAGUUUCAGCUCAGAUGGGAUGCGCAGUAUACAAAUCUUAUAAGUUUUCUUCUUAGUUUAGUUCUAGAUCUUAAUUCACUAUGACGUCUUUCCAAAAUUUUGCCGUUGUGAUUUACUAACUGGGCUUGCUUUUUUCAC